AAGAUUUGGUUAAGGUCAAAUUAUGGUUUUAAUUAGGAUUUGAUUUAUAAUUUGGUUAAGAUUUGAUUAAGAUUUUAAUUAAGAUUUUAAUUUUUAAUAUUUCUUUAGGAUUAUUUUUUUUUAAUUUUUUGACUUCUUUUAAAUUUUUUUUUGAUAGGUUAAAGAUUAAUUGGAUUUAUUAGGAAUUACUUGAAUUUUAUUUAAGGCUCUAUUAUACUUAGUAGAAUUAUUGUUGCAUUUUUAUUUAUCUUUAACAGCUAGGUACUUGGUGUAUUUUGAAGCAAGAAUAUACAUAAUACAAUAGUGGAGAGCUGAGUCAUUUACAAAAUAUUAUAGUAUUAUUGUUAAACAAACUCUCAAGAGAAGAAAUUGAAAGCCUAGAGUUUUAUAACUAGAAAAAUGAUUGGACGCAUAUUAAUUUUAUUUAAAGAGUGUAUACUCUAAAAGAAGAUAGAACUUUAAAAC
rnacentral:lncRNA from 1 species